GGCUCGUUAGAAAAAGCUACUUACUGUAUAUAUGUAAGUGACAUAAUCUUUAAAAAAUAUGUAGAGGAAGAAGGAUGCUAUCUCCAAAGAUUAUGUCACUUACAUAUAUACAGUAAGUAACUUUGCAUCCAGAACGUUAUAUUAACAACUUUGUC